ensembl:snRNA U6 U6 spliceosomal RNA
GUGCUCUCUUCAGCAGCACAUAUACCAAAACUAGAAUGAUACAGAGAGAUUAGCAUGGCCCCUGUGAAAGGAUGAUGCACAAUUCAUGAAGCAUUUCAUAUUUUU